rnacentral:rRNA from 1 species
UGGGGAAUAUUGGGCAAUGGGCGAAAGCCUGACCCAGCAACGCCGCGUGAAGGAAGAAGGCCCUCGGGUUGUAAACUUCUUUUGUCAGGGACGAAGGAUGUGACGGUACCUGACGAAUAAGCCACGGCCAACUACGUGCCAGCAGCCGCGGUAAUACGUAGGUGGCGAGCGUUAUCCGGAUUUACUGGGUGUAAAGGGCGUGUAGGCGGGACUGCAAGUCAGAUGUGAAAAUUAUGGGCUCAACCCAUAACCUGCAUUUGAAACUGUGGUUCUUGAGUGAUGGAGAGGCAGGCGGAAUUCCGUGUGUAGCGGUGAAAUGCGUAGAUAUACGGAGGAACACCAGUGGCGAAGGCGGCCUGCUGGACAUUAACUGACGCUGAGGCGC